rnacentral:rRNA from 1 species
CAGCAGCCACGGUAAUACGGAGGGGGCUAGCGUUGUUCGGAAUUACUGGGCGUAAAGCGCACGUAGGCGGCUUGGUAAGUUAGAGGUGAAAGCCUGGAGCUCAACUCCAGAAUUGCCUUUAAGACUGCCGAGCUAGCAGGUGAGAGAGGUAAGUGGAUUUCCGAGUGUAGAGGUGAAAUUCGUAGAUAUUCGGAAGAACACCAGUGGCGAAGGCGGCUUACUGGCUCAUACUGGACGCUGAGGUGCGAAAGCGUGGGGAGCAAACAGGAUUAGAUACCCCAGUAGUCCCUGUCUCUUAUAC